rnacentral:antisense_RNA from 1 species
UGAGCCCCCAGCUCAAAGACGACACACGGAGAAGGGAGCCAAGCAGCACUGACCGAUGUGGGCAGCGUUAUUGCCGACCAGGAAUUUGUCCCUGGACUUCCCCUCCGCACUGCUCCAUGCUCACCUUCCUCUUCUCGGGGGUCUCCACCAGCUGCCAGCUGUUGGCCUUGAGGUGGUAGAGUUCAUCAAACUUCAUGCUGAUGUCCUCGAUGGACAGCUGUAGCAGGUCCCAGAACCCUGCCAGGUCCUGGGCUGUGGGGCGUGGGUUGGCAUCAGGGUUCUGUGGGCCAGAUGGGGAUCAGUGGGGCCAGCUCAGCAGAGGCUUGUCCUGCUCCCCCCGACCCCCCAACAAGCAGGGUUCCUCUGGGCCCUGCCAGCACCCGUGGGGGCUCUUGAGGCCUAGUGUCUGGGGAAGAAACAGAAGUUCUUGGCCAUGGUGUGACAGUGACACCGAGAGAAGCCCGAUUCACUCCCAGGUUUCUGCUCACAGGUCACCUGGCCAGGGAUGCCCUCCCUGACCACCCUGAAUGCAACAACAACACCGACCCUGCCUGUGCAGCGGACACUAUACUGCUCUUACCCUUCCUGGUUAU